ensembl:lncRNA
AGCGGUACCCGAGCCCGGGAGAAGGACGGGAGGAAGGGGAAAGGGGAAGGGGAAGGAAAGAGAGAGAAAGAAAGAAGGUAGCGGCAGCGCGCACACUCUCACACCCCCGCUGGAAAAGCCGAGAGUACCCGCGCGCGGCACGGAGACGAAGCCGGAGAACGGAGGUGGCGGCUCGGACGGAGCGCAGGAGCGGCGCGGGGACCUGUUGACCGAGCGAGGCCAGCCCGUGCCGGAGCGGGACCCCGAGCCGAGGGCAGCCCGCCGCCGAGCCGAGCCGAGCCGGGAGCGGCGGGCAGCGAGGGGUCCGAUCGGCGCGAGGCGGGGAGGAGGCGCGGCGCCGGGGGAGCUCCAGGUGCUGCGCUCACGCUGCCCACAGGGCGGGCGAUCGUGUCCGUGCGGCCAUGUGCUCCGUGCGGAGCGCACAUAAAUAAGCGGGUGUGUGCGGCACAGGUAUGUUCAUACGAUUUGAUUUGUAUAUCGUGGAGCGUGUAAAGCUUUUCAAGGUAACUGCGGUGCAGAAGUAAUUACUUUAUUACCUCCGAAACGUUCUGCAGUUCGCAUUUAACAGUGCUCUGAAUAAUUACGAGUCAUUACGCAGCCGUGCGCUCUCCGAAGCCCGCGUACGGCGGCAUACCUGGCCGGGGCCGGUUCUGAUAAAUACCAGGCAGCGUUCCAUCGGUUUUCUUUAAAAACUCGCAGCGAGUUUAUCACUUAGUUAUACCUCAGCCCGCCGUCUCGCUGCACCGCGGCUGAGAUUCCAGCGGUGGCUGCCCCUGCCGCACCGUGAGACGCACUCGACAGCUGAUUGUACGGAUGCUCUCGGGAACGGCAGCGAGCGAGUCCUGCCGGCAGUGUGCCCUCAAUGCUGGCACGGAGUAACUGCGCGGGCGAAGCGGAGCCGUACCUCAGCUCAGCGCUCCCCUCGGCCGGACGGGCGCUGCUGUCGGCAUUGAUCACAAUAACGCGCACUGCCCGCCGCCCCCCGCGCUGCCGUUGUCAUGUGACGAGAGGGCGACAGCAGACCGAGAAAAGGCGUCGGGAGGCGUUCUUGGAGCGCCGUAUCCACGGGCUUUAUUAAAGCAGGAUUGUCUCCUCUUUAGAUGUGAGCUUUCGGUGAAUACGACGAGACUGCUUGUUUUCCCCCGCAAUGAUCACUGCGUUUCUCAAGCAGUUUGCACCUACUUACGGACCUCGCAUCUUCAGCCUUGGAUCUUAAAGGAACUGAUAACUCCUCUUCCAGAAAACUGUUCGGUAACAGGUUUCCUGCCCCGGGCUUUACAAGGAUCGCUCUUGUCUCAGAGCCACCGUGUUUGAUUGCCGGAAAAGGCUGACUACUAGAAUAGCAAAACCAGUCCGCCAUCCAGCAGUUGGGAAUCAAGGCCCUUCUUUACCAGAGCCCCAGCCACAUCCAUACUGUCACCCACCUUCCAGACACUCGGCACAACCAUUCACCCUAUUGAAUCAUGAGACUGUUUGAUCUUAUCUGCAUCUGUGAGCUGACUGUCAACCUGCUUACACUGCAUAUUAAAUCAUCUAUAGUAGCUGUAUCAAGCUGGGAUGAUCUGUUAAUUCUAAAUUUACUAACCCUUCGAGUGCAGUCGUUGUGUUUAAUCUAGUGUAGCCAGCAUUUAUUUUACAAGUCUAAAUCCUUCUUCAAGAUAUGUCUGUGCUGUAGGUUAAAAAAUCAUUAAUGUGUAGGAGAUGGUAAUUGGGAAGAGUUCACUUUGAUCUUUGGAAGCCAGUUGACAGCUUCACUGCUCCAAACACAUACGUGUGUGCUCUCACCACUCUCGCGUGCCCGGCGUGCUGGAUGUGUGCAUGCAUACGCACCUAAUGACACUUCCUUGCAGAAAGAGUUUUGCAUGAGACAAGGAAGAAGAGAGGCCUCAGACAAUGCCUUCAUUCCACGUCUCCAUGAAGACUUAUAAUCGAGAGGCAAAUUCCUGGUGCUGCAGCGCAGUGAGAGCAUGUGGCUGCAGGCAGAGCCCUGCGCCAGGAGGGCCAACAAACCUCCCUUCGAGGCAGCACCCAGCUUGAUGAAUGCCUGCAGCCAUUGCCAGCACCGGACAUCCCCACACACUGAGGACCACAGCCCCUGCCAGGCUUGAGAAAGGUCAAGUGCUGCUGUCCGCACCUCAACCAGCGUGCCCCCUCCUAGACACAGAUACAUACACAAAAAAUUGCAUGCAGAUAUGUACAUACAUCUAAAUAUGUUAAUCUGUUCACUGUACACACCCAUCUCUCCCUGUCCCACUCUCCUGUUAUCUAUUAUUCUUGCACGCUGCUGAUGGCAUCAACAUAUUCACAGCUUUUAUUUCAGUCACAAACUGGUAGGCAUGCUUCCUUUUUUGGUAAUCACAUGCCUGGUAUCUCUCUAAUGUAGCCUAAUAACAAUUUUAGCAUUCAGAUAAAAAGAUUUCAUUCUGUGAUUGCCUUUUCUAUUAGAUUUGAUUCUGAGAAGCCCCAGUGGGUGCCUCCGAGGCAGAGAUCUAUCUGUGAGGCUGCAACCGAUUCAAUAGCAGCCUGAGCUAACCUUGACCUUUCCCUAGACCCUACUCCAUCUGGUGCCAGCCUGGUCCCCCCCUUCUCCUCCUCCUUGCUUCACAGGCAGCAUUGAUCAAGACGAAAUCGAGCGGCUCUCUCCCUCGGAGGGCUGGGCAGUCACAGGAAGGACAGCACAUUUCACUAUAUGGAGACAACUGAGCUUCUUAUGCAAUCAUAUAUCUACAUAGAGGCUUCUGAUUUGAUAUUUCCUUCACUUCCUAAGGUUCUCCCCUCCCUCCCCCAGCAGGGAUUUAUAAACUAUAAGACAACCGCUUUCCCCAACACCUGGAAAUUAUAAAGCUGGCUGUUGGGAACGCAUCCUGGCGAUUUGAUCUGAUUUACUUGGCUUCUUAUUUAUUUCCUUGCAGCUCGCUCCAUCUUUUUCCUGCGUCCGUGGUUCUGUAUCUCUGUCUCUUCUUUCUGUUAUUUUCCCCUGUUCGGCGGCGGCCUUUAUUCAUCUCCUCGGGGAUGCCGGGUGCCGCUGUGGGUAGGCUGGAGGGGCCAGCUGGUGGCUGGCCGGCUCGGGAGGACCGGCUCCCUCCGAACCCCGGCACCGACUGUCGGCUCUCUCGGCCGCGUUUCUCUGUCUGGAAAUGAGAAGAGGCUCCCGCGAUCAAUCGGCACUCAGCACUUCGUGCUUCGUGUUCUUCCCCUCUUCUCCGCUCUGCCGCUGCACCUGGCCCCCAGCACUGCCUGGCCCCCAGAGCUCAAGCGGAAUUGCGCCGUGCCCCACGGCCCCGCACCGCCCCACGGCCCCGCGCAGCCCCGCGCCGCUCGCCGAGGCGUUCCGACGCGCUCCCGCCCCCGUUCCCUCUUCGGCAGCAGCCGCGCUGGGGUUCGCCUCGCGGACAACCGCCGCGUCCGCGCUCUCAUCUCCUCUCAUCUCCGUGUGGGUUCCUUAAUUGCCAGGACGUUCGUUUACAAUCCGCGAUCUGCUUUUUCUUCCCAAGAAUUGUAGCAUGACCGCGUUUUCUCAUCUCACACCAGUCUUCAGAUUAUAUAACAGAUGAUGCAAAAUUAUAAUGACGAUCUAAUCUAUGCACACUGUAAUUAUAGAGUUUCCUGCACACACACAGCUCUUGCAGUAUCUGCAGAGCUGACAACUGGCUGUAGAUGCAGAGUACAAAAGAUAGAGACUGAUAUUUGGACCCACAUAUGUUUAAGAGAGAGAUAUUACUUAAUGGGAGAAGGGAUCUGGAAAUGCAUUUCUCUUUCUUCUGAGGAAUUUGUUUUGCUUUAUCUCCAUCGGUUGUAAUAGGAAGAAACUGUGAAUUACGCUGAAAAAAAAAAAAGACAUAUACUCAAUUUAUCAGUUUACUAUUACAUUUCCUAUCUCCAGUGUUACAAAGAUUUAGAACAUUUCCAAAACUUUUGGAUCUAAUCUGUGUUUUGUGCAGCCUACAGUUUGUUUGCAGGACCUGCCACCACACGCCAGCCAAAAAUGAGUGUCAAUUAAUAACAAAAAACUCCCUUCCUUCCUUAUUUCUGCACUCUCAUACCUUAACGGAUAAAACUACUGAUGGUGAGAAUUUUCCAUUACCAACAGUUUUUAUUCUAAAGCACCAAAGCUUCCCCACAUAGAGCUGCUGAAUAUUUCCUUGCUUUUCCCAGUGGCAAUUUACGCACACCACUGCUCAUUUGAAAUAUAAAGAAUAUUCAGCACUUUCAGGAGUGUUUUUUCUGCUACCCAGAUCAGCCAGUAGAACCAAUUGCAAAUCCAGUGACUGCACUGUGCUGUUUGUGGCGUUCCAAAUUAGAAAUCAUUUGAAACCAGAAGUAGGAGGGUUUGUUGGUUUUGUCUUUUUUUUUUCUACUGUUUUCUACAACGUCAGAAGUAACUGAAAAAACAUUCACCCUUGUGACACAACAGAAUUUAUGAGCUCUUUUCUUUCUGAGCUACCUGAGCAGUCCUGUCAUCCCUGCAGAAAUGCCCAUGUGUGGGUUGCUGUUUAAAACCGUAUUCUACUUAUCAAUAAAAUGUGAAAUGGCUUAAAAAACAA